GAAAUGCGAUACGUAAUGUGAAUUGCAGAAUUCAGUGAAUCAUCGAAUCUUUGAACGCAACUUGCGCUUUUGGGUAUCCCUGAAAGCAUACCUCUCUGAGUAUCGUUUCACCACCACAUCGACGGCGUACUUUCGAGUACGUGUUUACAUGUCGGAAAAUGAGUUGUCUCAAUUGUUCUUGACGGGACGUGAUUGAGUCACUUGAAACGCAUCCCACUCCGUAAUCAGAUACGAUUCGAGUACACCCUAAAAAAGUGUUGCUUGACUAUUUGAUGUUCGAUAAUUGACCUUUGGUCAUUACACUAUCACAUCGAGUAGUAGUAACUGUUUGUUACGAGUGAGUAAAACAAGGAACCCUAAAGGAUUCAUUUCCUUUUUGAUCUUGAUCUCAGAUGAAGUA
rnacentral:misc_RNA from 1 species